rnacentral:tRNA from 4 species
GGUCCCAUCGUCUAGUCAGGUCAGGACACCAGGUUUUCAUCCUGGGAACAGGGGUUCGAAUCCCCUUGGGAUCA